UACGUAGGGUGCAAGCGUUAUCCGGAAUUUAUUGGGCGUAAAGAGCUCGUAGGCGGUUUGUCGCGUCUGCCGUGAAAGUCCGGGGCUCAACUCCGGAUCUGCGGUGGGUACGGGCAGACUAGAGUGAUGUAGGGGAGACUGGAAUUCCUGGUGUAGCGGUGAAAUGCGCAGAUAUCAGGAGGAGCACCGAUGGCGAAGGCAGGUCUCUGGGCAUUAACUGACGCUGAGGAGCGAAAGCAUGGGGAGCGAACAGG
rnacentral:rRNA from 1 species